AGUGAACGCUGGCGGUAGGCCUAACACAUGCAAGUCGAACGGCAGCACAGUAAGAGCUUGCUCUUACGGGUGGCGAGUGGCGGACGGGUGAGGAAUACAUCGGAAUCUACUUUUUCGUGGGGGAUAACGUAGGGAAACUUACGCUAAUACCGCAUACGACCUACGGGUGAAAGCAGGGGAUCUUCGGACCUUGCGCGAUUGAAUGAGCCGAUGUCGGAUUAGCUAGUUGGCGGGGUAAAGGCCCACCAAGGCGACGAUCCGUAGCUGGUCUGAGAGGAUGAUCAGCCACACUGGAACUGAGACACGGUCCAGACUCCUACGGGAGGCAGCAGUGGGGAAUAUUGGACAAUGGGCGCAAGCAUGAUCCAGCCAUACCGCGUGGGUGAAGAAGGCCUUCGGGUUGUAAAGCCCUUUUGUUGGGAAGGAAAAGCAGCAGGUUAAUACCCCGCUGUUCUGACGGUACCCAAAGAAUAAGCACCGGCUAACUUCGUG
rnacentral:rRNA from 1 species